GUGUCCAUUCGGAGACAUCCGAUAAAAUUAAAAUGAUACAUAGAAGAUUAGCGUGAACUAUGCAUAAGGAUGACAUGCAUGAGAAAUAGUCCAAUUGUUU
rnacentral:snRNA from 2 species